AUUGAACGCUGGCGGCAUGCUUUACACAUGCAAGUCGAACGGUAACAGGCCGCAAGGUGCUGACGAGUGGCGAACGGGUGAGUAAUGCAUCGGAACGUGCCCAGUCGUGGGGGAUAACGCAGCGAAAGCUGUGCUAAUACCGCAUACGAUCUAUGGAUGAAAGCGGGGGACCGUAAGGCCUCGCGCGAUUGGAGCGGCCGAUGUCAGAUUAGGUAGUUGGUGGGGUAAAGGCUCACCAAGCCAACGAUCUGUAGCUGGUCUGAGAGGGCACCCAGCCGCACUGGGACUGAGAGACGGGCCAGACUCCUACGGGAGGCAGCAGUGGGGAAUUUUGGACAAUGGGCGCAAGCCUGAUCCAGCAAUGCCGCGUGCAGGAAGAAGGCCUUCGGGUUGUAAACUGCUUUUGUACGGAACGAAACGGCGAGCUCUAAUACAGUUUGCUAAUGACGGUACCGUAAGAAUAAGCACCGGCUAACUACGUGCCAGCAGCCGCCGUAA
rnacentral:rRNA from 1 species